GAGUUUAAUCAACCGUCUCAAGUUGGCGGAUGGCUCCGUAAAGUUUGGAGGAACCACUUCCUUUGUUCUCUGGACGCCGAAAGCUGGAGGAAGCGGCCACGCCCACAAGCCAUGAAGGUGCUUCACCUCCAAGCUCUAAACGCUCACGUCUUUCUUCAGUGACAGCGGUAUGUACAAUGAUUGCUAAUGCUGUAAAGGAAAACGGCCAAACGACAGGAGUUUGAUGAUAGCGAUCAACGUUACCGUACAAGUUUGUCAACAUGAUGAAUGAAAGACUGAGUUAAAGCGCUGCACCUUUACGCACAGCCAGUGACUUUUAAAGAAAAAGGAAAGUUAUAGACAAAACUGCAAGCAGUUCAAAGUGUUUGGCUAAAAUGUCUGAUGUAUUGAAAGCACAGUCAUCCAAGAGUGAUUCGGAGAUUUCAUCUAAACGAAGUAUUAAAAUGACUGAGAAAGGCUUGAUGUCUUAUAUAAAAAUGUGCCAAAAUAAAAGAAUUGCUAAAUUGAAGCAAGCAAGACGAAUAAUGGACGAUUUAAAUAUUUUGAUGGAGUCAAAUGAUAAAGCUGACUCAGUGAAUUCUCUUCUUGCUACAUUUAUUCAAUGUUCUCAGGAUGCAGAGGCGUCUCAUAAAAACUUAGCAAGUUUGCCACUCCCCUCUGAUGAACUCAUGAAACAAAACGAACAUUUCCAGAAUAAAAUGAGUUCUUACCACGAGUUUACUGAGCUUGUCAGGGGCUGGUUAUGUGAACGGGAGACGCCCUUUGUGCAGCCCAGUGCAGAUGAUUACGAUCAAGACAAGAAUGAUGUUAACGCAAUUAAUCCUGAAGACAGCGCUUCCAAUGUGCGCUCUGUAAAGUCUAAGUCAGGCUCUCAGGUGUCCCGUGUCUCUUCUACAUCUUCGGCUCGCAUUAAGGCGGAGGCCGAGAGAGCGGCGCUGCUGGAGCGCGCUGCAGGACUCAAAAAGAAACAUCAGUUGGAAGCGCAGGAGGAAAAGCUAAAACAAGAAAAAGAGCAACUAGAACUUGAGACUGAGUUAGCGGCUGCUAACGCGAAACUUCGUGUGUUGGAAAUAAAUUCACAGUGUGGCUCAAAAUGUUCUGAUGGCAUGAAUUCGUAUAUUGAAAAGCGCAAUUCCAACAUGGCGCUUGAUCCUUGUGCCAAAGUAUUCGUUCCAGAGAGAAAUAUGGACGAUUUUAAAAUGGCUUCUGCCAUCGCUGAGCAACCAGUUGUUAGGCUGAAACAAAAGCCACCAAUUCAAAGUGUUGAUAAGCCACAAAGUGUCUGUGAUGAAUUAACUGUUCAACAAAUCAGUAUUAUUGACAUCAUGCAGCGGCAAAAUGACAUCACUGCCAUGUUGGUUCAGCAAAACCAAAACUCUGUCUUGCCACCAAGAAACAUCCCUGUUUUCGAUGGUGAUCCUCUUCAAUAUGGAUCAUUUAUAAGAGCGUUUGAGAACAGCGUGGAGGCCAAAACGUCUAAUUUGAGUGACUGUUUGCACUUUUUAGAACAAUACACUAGGGGGCAGCCUAGAGACCUUGUGCAUAGUUGCCAGCAUUUGCCGUCAGAACUGGGCUAUCCUAGAGCUAAAAGUCUUCUUUCUGAACAUUUUGGAAACGAAUAUAAAAUUGCGCAGGCCUACAUGGACAAAAUUAACAACUGGCCAGCUAUUAAAAAUGAGGACAUUAAAUCACUGCAAGCAUUUUCUCUGUUUCUUAAGGGAUGCUCAAAUUUAACAGAAUAUGUUACUCAUUUGAAAGAAUUGGACUUGCCAUCAAAUAUGAGGAGCAUAAUCCUAAAGCUUCCCUAUAAAAUGAGAGAGAGCUGGAGAAAUGUAGCCUGUGACCUGCAGGAACACAGGGGUCAGAGGGCAUUAUUCAUUGAUUUGGUUGUUUUUAUUGAAAAACAAGUUAAAGUUGUAUCUGAUCCACUGUUUGGUAACAUUAUAGAUCUUCAACAGCUCAACUCUAAAAACACCCACAGCAGCUUUACCAAACAGAAGAAAAGGGGGAAUAGUUUUGCUACAAAUGUUCUUGCAGUAAAAAAUGAAGAUCUAUCUGAAAAUAAGAACAAGUCCUCAAAGGGUUAUAGCUGUUUGUAUUGUCUCCUAAGUAAUCAUACAAUUGACAAAUGCUUUAAGUUUAAAGACAAGUCACAUAAAGAUAAAGUGAACUUUAUUAAGGAAAAGGGAAUGUGUUUUGGCUGCUUGAAGGUGGGUCACAUAAGCAGAGAAUGCAGAGGUCGCUUGGUCUGUUCUGUUUGUCACCAGCAGCAUCCCAGUGUCCUGCACAUCGACAAGGAGAGUACAGGAACUUUCUCCAGACAUCCACAGAAUCCUCUGAAUACCACCUCCACAAUGACUCAGACCUGUGGUCAUGUCAGGGUCUGUGAUGAAGAUAACUCAAACCUUUCUAUUGUUGCAGUUCAAGUCAGGAGUCCAAAAACCAACAUCACUGUGCAGACAUAUGCAUUUUUGGACCCAGGAAGCACAGGAACAUUCUGCACUGAAAGUUUGGCCCGGAAGCUGCAACUGAAAGGUAAAAGAACAAGCAUUCAACUGCAAACAAUGGGACACAAAGAUAUUGUGAGUACAAACAUCAUCUCUGGACUUCAAGUGGCAGCACUUGAUAGAAAUGAUUUCAUUGACCUUCCAGAUGUCAUGACACAGAAACUAAUGCCUGUUUCAAAGCAAAAUGUUCCACAACAGGAGGACAUCGACAAGUGGCCAUACCUGCAAAGCAUCAAGCUCCACGACAUAGAUGCUGAUGUAGAUCUGCUCAUUGGCACAGACGCACCUAAAGUAAUGGAGCCAUGGGAGCUGAUCAACAGUCAGGAGGAAGGCCCAUAUGCAGUUUGGACCCGAGUUGGAUGGGUCAUCAAUGGUCCACUCCGGAGUGAAAGGAACAAAACAGGCUAUCAUAGUUUCACUGUAAACAAGAUUUCUGUUAAACAUCUGGAAACAAUGUUGAUUGAACAAUACAAUCAUGAUUUCAAUGAAAAAACAUCCCAAGAGCAAGUUGAAAUGUCUAGAGAAGACAUCAAGUUCAUGAAUAUCAUGAAUAAUUCGGCACAAUUAAAAAAUGGACAUUAUUGUAUUGAUUUGCCUUUUAAAUCUGAAAGUUCCGUCUUGCCUAUUAAUCGUUGUGUUGCAGAACAACGUCUUCUGAGCCUGAAAAGAAAGUUUAACAUGAACAGCACCUUUAAGAAAGAUUACAUUGCAUUUAUGAAUGACAUGCUAUGUAAUGGAUAUGCUGAAAUUGUACCUGAUGAUCAAUUAAUGGGCAAUGAGGGCAAGGUGUGGUACAUACCCCACCACGGUGUUUAUCACCCCCGAAAAGGCAAAUUAAGAGUUGUUUUUGACUGUGCCGCAACAUUCAAGGGAAUCUCACUGAACUGCCAGCUGCUACAGGAACCUGAUCUGACUAACUCAGUUGUGGGAGUUCUUCUGCGUUUCAGACAAGAGCCAAUAGCAGUUAUGGCAGAUAUUCAAGCUAUGUUCCACCAGGUUCAUGUUCCAGAGAAACACAGAGACUGUCUUCGCUUCCUCUGGUGGCCCAAUGGUGACACAUCGCAAGUUCCACAGGAAUAUCGGAUGACAGUACAUCUGUUUGGAGCAGUGUCCUCCCCAAGCUGUGCAAAUUAUGCAUUAAGAAGAACAGCAGAAGAUAAUGCUCAGCAGUUUCCAGCUGAAGUGGAGGAUUUAAGCUCUCAAAGUGGCUCAGUAACAGUCCCGCCGUUCUGCAAAUGGUUUCGGGCAACACCAAAGCAAAAGAAAUGUUAGAAAUGGAUUUGGAGCUUCCAAUGGAACGUGCACUUGGAUUGCAGUGGUGCCUUCAAAGUGACUCCUUUAAAUUUAAAGCUUCCCUUCCAGAGCGGUCUCGCACAAGAAGAGGAAUACUGUCAGUGAGCUCUGCAGGAGAAACUUGGGCUGGGAUGAUGCAGUUCACCAUCAUUUUUCCAAACAAUGGACCGACUGGCUGGAUGACCUGAAGAGGAUCUCAAAGUUUGAAGUGAGUCGCUGCAUUAAACCUAAAAAUUUUUGUCCUGUUACAGCACAACUCCACCAUUUCUCCGAUGCCAGCCAAGUGGGGUAUGGUACAGUGUCGUAUAUAAGAUUUCAAAGUGAGCAUCAUGUGCAUCUGGCAUUCCUCCUAGGAAAGGCCAGAGUUGCUCCCCUCAAGCAGACAACCAUCCCUCGACUGGAGCUCACUGCAGCUGUCCUUGCUGUACGACUGGACCAACUGCUUCAUAGAGAACUGCAUCUUCUCUGUGAAGAUGUAAUUCUGGAGGCAUCUGUUUUUUGGACAGACAGCACCACUGUCCUAAGAUACAUUUGUAGUGAAGCAAAGAGGUUUCAUACCUUUGUUGCAAACAGAGUGUCAAUCAUUAGAGAAGCUACAUUAGCUAACCAGUGGAGAUAUGUGAGUUCCAAAGACAAUCCAGCAGAUGAAGCAUCAAGAGGGAUGAGAGCAGAGGACUUCUUGGAGCACAGCAAGUGGAUUGAUGGUCCUGAGUUUCUGUACGACUCUGAAAACAAAUGGCCUAAGUUGGGUGUAAAGUAUGACUCACUUCCUGUUGCUGAUGCUGAAAUAAAAAAGGAUGUGAUUGUUAAUGCUGUUGUUGAGGAGGCUAAAAACCCUACCAGUUUUUUCAUCUCCUACUUCUCAUCCUGGAUGAAGCUAAAAACAUCUGUAGCCUGGGUUUUAAAGCUUAAAGAACUCCUUCUUCAACUGUCUCAGAAAAGAAAAGAGUUUUCUGACAUGAUGCAUGAGUCUGCAGAAGAUGCAAACAUUAAAGAGCAAAAGGUGUUGCAAAAGAUGCAGCAGUUUAAAACUAUGCUAAAAAUCCAGUGUUUAACAUCUGAAGAUUUGACUGCAGCAGAGCAUUUCAUUAUUCUCUUCGAACAACAUCACAGGUUUGAGCCAGAGAUAAGCGCACUCAGAGCCAACAAGACAGUCUCCAAAGACAGCCAGCUGUAUCGACUCGAUCCAGUGAUCGAUGAUGGAGUCCUCAGAGAAGGAGCCACAUGUUGUCCAGGCUGCGUCGGAAAUACUGGAUAAUCAGCGCAAACUCUGCUGCCAGAAAGAUCCUGUCUGACUGUGUCACCUGCAGAAGAAAUAGAGGAAAGCUUCUAGAACAAAAAAUGGCCGACUUGCCCCAGGAAAGGGUAAAACCAGACAAACCUCCAUUCUUAGAUGUAUGUGUUGAUUAUUUUGGCCCCAUUGAUGUUAAGAGAGGCAGAAGUCUUCUCAAACGUUAUGGAGUCUUAUUUACUUGCCCAACUAGUCGUGCCGUCCAUUUGGAAGUGGCUCAUACCCUUGAUACUGAUUCUUGCAUUAAUGCAAUCAGAAGAUUCAUCUGCAGGCGUGGUCCAGUCUCUUCUAUCAGAUCAGAUAAUGGCACAAAUUUUGUGGGAGCCAAUAGAGAGCUAAAAGAAGGUCUGGCUGCAUUAAAUCAGAGUAAAAUCCAAAAGGCUCUGGUCCAAGAUGGCAUAAAUUGGCAUUUUAAUAUACCUGCAGCUUCACAUCAUGGUGGCAUCUGGGAACGUUUGAUUCGUUCAGUCAAGAGUGUACUCACCUCAGUUUUAAAACAGCAGGUUUUAGAUGAUGAAACUUUGCAAACUGUUUUCUGUGAGGCUGAAGCCAUUUUGAAUGACAGACCCAUCACUUUGGUCUCUGAUGAUCCAAACGAUUUAGAAGCCCUCACACCAAAUCACAUCCUGAUGUUAAAGAACCAACCUGUUCUGCCACCUGGACUGUUUCAGAAACAAGAUCUGUAUCUCAAACGCAGAUGGAAGCAAGUACAGUAUAUGGCUGAACUCUUUUGGAAAAGAUGGAUCACUGAGUAUCUGCCCUUACUGCAUGAAAGACAAAAAUGGAUGAGACGGAAAAGAAACAUCUCUCCUGGAGACAUUGUCCUGAUCGCAGAUGCUACUGCACCCCGAGGAUGUUGGCAGAUGGGGAGAGUCCUGGCAGUCAAAGCUGAUGGAGGAGGACUGGUUCGUUCAGUGCAACUGCAGACCAAAACCAGUGUGUUGGAGAGGCCAGUGACGAAGCUCUGUCUGCUCCUGGAGGCAUCUGCAGACUAAAGACAUUCUUAUUCUUUCUACUCUAUCCUAUUCUAUUCUUUCUUUUUUCUCUUGCAGGUUCGUCAUUAUGGAAAUGAAGGACAAAGAAGAAUUUAUGUCUUUGCAUUAAUGUAGGACAAUAUUGAGGUUGUUAGAAUAGCUCCUUUAAUUAGAGAUUUAAUUGUGAUUUAAUGCACAAUUAGGGGCUGGAGUGUAGGAGCUAUUUCUCCAUUAUUUUCAGUUAAAGUUUAGAAUGUAGAUUAUUUAGUUUAUUUUUUUGUUUUAUAGUUGAUUUAUA